GCGUCUCCGCCCAGAUCGUUCGACUUCCUCGUCAAGCGCCUCCCCGGCACCUCCUCCGCGCGCCUCUGCGACCUCCAGCCCGGCGACCUCGUCCCCGUCGGCGGCAGCGUCGUCGGCCGCGGGUUCGAGGUAACCAGGAUCGCCGACGCCCGCGACGUCCUCGUCUUCGCCACCGGAUCCGGGAUCAGUCCAAUCCGGUCACUCAUUGAGUCAGGUUUUGGUGAAAAUGAGAAGAUUGAUGUAAGCCUCUUUUAUGGGGUUAGAAACCUUCAAAGGAUGGCUUAUCAGGAAAGGUUCAGUGACUGGGAAUCGAGAGGAAUAAAAAUUAUACCUGUUCUCUCUAGACCAGAUGAGCAGUGGACUGGCCAGCGUGGCUAUGUUCAGAAUGCCUUUUCAAGGGCAAAGAAAGUUAUAAAUCCAUCAUCAACGGGAGCGAUUUUGUGUGGACAUAAACAGAUGACUGAGGAAAUUACUAGAGCUCUUGUUGCUGAUGGUAUGCCCAAAGAUCAAAUCCUAACAAACUUCUGA
rnacentral:rRNA from 1 species